GCGUGGCCACGGGUGCGGAUUGUGCACCAGGUGAAGCCACCGAACACUCUGAACCACAGCGUACCGGAGACACAGCACUGUAUUAGUGAGUUACAAACCGUACGAAGGAGACAAUUUAAGAUGACGCUUUCGUAAAAGGUUUGGUAACACUGCAUACAGAGUAAUGAGAAAUCCCUAAUAAACCGGCAAGUCCUGCACGACAAAAGAGGACAGAGAAAUAAAGAUGUUCACUGCCUCUCAGCUGUAGAAUUUAUUCCGUGAACACAGCAAGACUAAUAAAACUCAAUUCCUCGUGCCACAACGCUCAGGACCAAAGGUCGAAAGGAUACGUUCUCCUUGGGUUCAGGUGCCCACUCCCAUGGAUUGUCUUGAAAUGACAAGUGUCAGUUGAGAACCAAAGAGACAAAUACAACACUACUAUAAAACAAGGUGGUGACAAAACGCAAUAGAGAAGAAGAUGAUUAAUGCGCUCUGAAGUAGCAAAACAAAAAGUGAAGGAAACCAUAUGACAACAAAAACCAACUGCAACGUAACACUUGACUAAGAUUAGGAUCUAAUUCCUUUUCAGUCUGCUCCGAAGGGAGGGAGGCACUGGCCAAGCAGCGGAAGGCAGAAAAGACUACACUGAAGGAAGAAAACGGGAAGUUUACCUUUUUUUCUCUAAGAAAACAUGAUAUGGAUGGAGUUCGGGAAGGUAUGCAGUUAUAUGGUCAACAUGAAAAACCACAUUUGAAGUUAAGGAGAAUGGACAUUUUUCCCCAACAGAAAGGAACCUAAAUAGCCUCACAUUGAUCUGUAUACAGCAAGAGGCAGUUUCACUAACUAACAGAGGCAAGUCAUUACAGAAACCUUCCUGCUUCAAAGCCAAAGCAGUGGCAGGGAAAGCAUUCACUGCAUGGAAAAUAAAGAUAUGUUUUAUUUGCAUGGCUGAGUUCUGAAGCUGCUGCCCAACACAUGAGAAAGCAAUCAGCUUCAUUAGCAACUGCAAUUUGGUCACCUCCGUAAAAUGACAAUUGCAAAGGAAAAAGAUGUUUCUCAUCUUCCUUAACCUCCUUCCACCCAGUCGCUCAGCCCACUGGGAGCGUUUGAACUUAGAGAAGAAAAGGACAUCAUACAAGAAGUUUUAAGCUUCCCGUGUGGUGAUGAAAACGCUGGAUCUCUUCUGUAGACUGGAGAGCAACAGCACGUUUGCUUUAUGCAGCAAUAUUGCUUUCCAGUGCCUUCCCAUCUGCUCCAUCACAAGACAGUACCGAGGUAAGAGUGAAUUAUAUCUUAAUGUUCUCCUCCUCCUCUUGCCACGUUUGGGAGGACCCCAACUCCCCAUACAUCCCACAUUUCAGUGUCCCCUACACCUGAGCCCAGCAGACUGAAGGGGGGAGCGGUAUUAGCGAAAAG